rnacentral:misc_RNA from 1 species
AACGCAAAUUGCACUCUCCGGUUUUCCGGGAGAGUAUGCCUGUUUGAGGGUCAGCCUAAAAAAAAUCGACAUUGUUGCUUGUUUUAUGGUGACUUUCGUCGGAGGUUGGGUUAUCUUAAACCCUUUAGGUUUAAGCGACUUAAAAUUUUUUUUUACGAUUCCAAGAACGUUUCUAAGAUUAUUUCUUACACGUUUAUUAAGGUAUCGAUCAUAUUAGACGCGGCCGUCAUAUCGGAUCGUGUCUAUAAUUUUUUUCGUUAACUGACCUCAGACAGGUAAGAGUACCCGCUGAACUUAA